GUCUCCCAGGCUAGGCCCCAAAGGGAGCCAAGGGAAGCAUCUUUCUCCUCGUUCCUUCACUUGACUGAGACACUGAGGCCUUGAGGGGUUGAGGAACUGUCUUCUGGAAGGAGCCAGAAGUGGAAACAGCUGGACCUGGCUCAUGCUUUUCACCUCUAUCCAGUUGAUCCUGAGCGCUGGGAAUACACCACUGACACAGUGAGCCAGGAUCACCCCCUGCCCUCAAAGUGUUAUUGGUAGCAGGGUGAGGUUUGAGGGGACUGUCUGAGACAGGAAGCAAAGAAAGACAGACACUUGCUACAGUUACUUUAAGAUGGAGUGAGUGCCUUCUAUGAUAAGGGCUGGUUGCACAGAAGCGAUGCUCCAGGGUGGCAGAAGGGCACAGGUAAGGUCUGGGGCUCGAUGGGUAAAAGGGCUUGCUCUGC